rnacentral:tRNA from 1 species
GCCAUCUUAGCUCAGCUGGUAGAGCAACGGUUUUGUAAACCGUGGGUCCGGGGUUCGAGCCCCCGAGAUGGCU